GAUUCCCUGGGUUGUUUGCCAGCCGAUAUGUCCUCGACCCUUUAUGCGACACCCAGGAGGUCUUUUUUUGUGGACCAUGCGCACGUCCCUCGUCCGGAAAAUCGAGUCGUCGGAAAGCCUACGGCCAUGUGGAGACCACCGCCUUGAACCGCUGGGUUCAAGGGCCUAUCCGUGCAGCGGCAAUUUGGGGAAUUU
rnacentral:other from 1 species